rnacentral:rRNA from 2 species
AAAUUGAAGAGUUUGAUCAUGGCUCAGAUUGAACGCUGGCGGCAGGCCUAACACAUGCAAGUCGAACGGUAACAGGAAGCAGCUUGCUGCUUCGCUGACGAGUGGCGGACGGGUGAGUAAUGUCUGGGAAACUGCCUGAUGGAGGGGGAUAACUACUGGAAACGGUGGCUAAUACCGCAUAACGUCGCAAGACCAAAGAGGGGGACCUUCGGGCCUCUUGCCAUCAGAUGUGCCCAGAUGGGAUUAGCUGGUUGGUGAGGUAACGGCUCACCAAGGCGACGAUCCCUAGCUGGUCUGAGAGGAUGACCAGCCACACUGGAACUGAGACACGGUCCAGACUCCUACGGGAGGCAGCAGUGGGGAAUAUUGCACAAUGGGCGCAAGCCUGAUGCAGCCAUGCCGCGUGUAUGAAGAAGGCCUUCGGGUUGUAAAGUACUUUCAGCGGGGAGGAAGGUGUUGUGGUUAAUAACUGCAGCAAUUGACGUUACCC